rnacentral:miRNA from 1 species
AUGGUAAGACUCUCUCUCUCUCUCUCUCUCUCUCUCUCUCUCUCUCUCUCUCUGUGUGUGUGUGUGUGUGAGAGAGAGAGAGAGAGAGAGAGAGAAAGAAAGAAAUGCCCCAAAAU